rnacentral:lncRNA from 1 species
UUAAUGCCUAGUUGCAUCAUGCACUAAAAUAUGAUGAUGUUCAAAGAGGUUUGGAGCCUUAGUUGUCUCUAUAUUUCAAGAAAAUAGUGAUUUUAUAGUAGUUAUUCCAUCGAUUUAGGGAGUAUUAUGAAGUUUUACAAAAUUAAUUGAUAAAAACAAUUCAACGAUGUUCAUUUACCAUGAAAAAGAGUUUAACAUACAUUAAUACAAUUGUAAAAUAUGUUUAGAACUUUUAAAACAACACUAAAGAUUAUAGGCUUUAGUAUAUAAAGUAUUUACCAAAAUUUGCAUAUUUUCGUAGGGGUACACAUUGAUUUUGAGAAAAUUUCAAAAAAUACGAAAAUAUUUUUUUAAUGCCUUUUUGCAUCCUUUACUAACAUAUGAUGAUGUUCAAAUAGGUUUGGAGUCUUUGUUGUCUCCGUUUUUCAAGAAAAUAAGGAUUUUAUAGUGGUUUUCCCAACGAUUUAGGGAGUAUUACGAAGUUUUAAUAAAUUAAUUGAUAAACAAAAUUAUAACGAUUCCCAUAUACCAUGAAAAUGAGCUUAAUAUACAUUAACACAAAUGUAGAAUGUGGUUAUAAAAUUUAAAACAACACUAAAGAUUAUAGGCUUCAGUAUAUAAAGUAUUUACCAAACACCCAAUAUUUCCGUAGGGGUUAGCACGUAGAUUUUGAAAAAAUUUCAAAAAAUAUGAAAAUAUUGUUUUAAUGUUCAAAGAGGUUUGGAGCUUUAGUUGUCUCUAUUUUUCAAGAAAAUAGUGAUUUGAUAGUGGUUAUUCCAUCGAUUUAGGGAGUAUUAUAAAGUUUUACUAAAUUAAUUGAUAAAAAUAAUUGAACGAUGCUCAUUUCCCAUGAAAAAGAGUUUAACAUACAUUAAUACAAAUGUAAAAUAUGGUUUGAAAUUUUAAAACAACACUAAAGAUUAUAGGCUUCAGUAUAUAAAGUAU